rnacentral:rRNA from 1 species
ACGUAGGUGGCAAGCGUUGUCCGGAUUUACUGGGCGUAAAGGAUGCGUAGGUGGAUAUUUAAGUCAGAUGUGAAAUACCCGAGCUUAACUUGGGUGCUGCAUUUGAAACUGGAUAUCUAGAGUGCAGGAGAGGUAAGUGGAAUUCCUAGUGUAGCGGUGAAAUGCGUAGAGAUUAGGAAGAACACCAGUGGCGAAGGCGACUUACUGGACUGUAACUGACACUGAGGCAUGAAAGCGUGGGGAGCAAACAGGAUUAGAUACCCUGGUAGUCCACGCCGUAAACGAUGAGUACUAGGUGUAGGGGGUAUCGACUCCCUCUGUGCCGCAGUUAACACAAUAAGUACUCCGCCUGGGAAGUACGGUCGCAAGAUUA